rnacentral:rRNA from 1 species
GUUGAUCCUGCCAGUAUUAUAUGCUUGUCUCAAAGAUUAAGCCAUGCAUGUCUAAGUAUAAGCAAUUUAUACAGUGAAACUGCGAAUGGCUCAUUAAAUCAGUUAUCGUCUAUUUGAUAGUUCCUAUACUACAUGGUAUAACUGUGGUAAUUCUAGAGCUAAUACAUGCUUAAAAUCUCGACCCUUUGGAAGAGAUGUAUUUAUUAGAUAAAAAAUCAAUGUCUUCGGACUCUUUGAUGAUUCAUAAUAACUUUUCGAAUCGCAUGGCCUUGUGCUGGCGAUGGUUCAUUCAAAUUUCUGCCCUAUCAACUUUCGAUGGUAGGAUAGUGGCCUACCAUGGUUUCAACGGGUAACGGGGAAUAAGGGUUCGAUUCCGGAGAGGGAGCCUGAGAAACGGCUACCACAUCCAAGGAAGGCAGCAGGCGCGCAAAUUACCCAAUCCUAAUUCAGGGAGGUAGUGACAAUAAAUAACGAUACAGGGCCCAUUCGGGUCUGUAAUUGGAAUGAGUACAAUGUAAAUACCUUAACGAGGAACACUUGGAGGGCAAGUCUGGUGCCCGCAGCCGCGGUAAUUCCAGCUCAUAGUGAA